rnacentral:rRNA from 1 species
GACGAACGCUGGCGGCGUGCUUAACACAUGCAAGUCGAACGAAGUGGCGAACGGGUGAGUAACGCGUAAUCAACCUGCCCUUCAUAGGGGGACAACAGUUGGAAACGACUGCUAAUACCGCAUACUGAAGGAGGGGAUUGCGUCUGAUUAGGUAGUUGGAGGGGUAAGGGCCCACCAAGGCGAUGAUCAGUAGCCGGGCUGGGAGGAUGAACGGCCGCAUUUGGACUGAGACACGGCCCUGUCUGCUACGGGAGGCAGCGGUGGGGAUUCUUCCGCAAUGGACGAAAGUCUGACGGAGCAACGCCGCGUGAGUGAUGACGGCCUUCGUGUUGUAAAGCUCUGUUAAUCGGGACGCGGUACCGGAAUAGAAAGCCACGGCUAACUACGUGCCAGCCGCCGCGGUAAUUC